rnacentral:rRNA from 1 species
UACGGAGGGUGCAAGCGUUGCUCGGAAUUAUUGGGCGUAAAGCGCGUGUAGGCGGCUUCUUAAGUCUGAUGUGAAAUCCCGGGGCUUAACCCCGGAACUGCGUUGGAUACUGGGAAGCUAGAGGGCGAGAGAGGUUGGUGGAAUUCCUGGUGUAGGGGUGAAAUCCGUAGAUAUCAGGAGGAACAUCAGUGGCGAAGGCGGCCAACUGGCUCGUACCUGACGCUGAGACGCGAAAGCGUGGGGAG